GUAGCAAUACACAGUCUGUAAGGUGCUGCAUGGCUGUCGUCAGCUCGUGCCGUGAGGUGUUGGGUUAAGUCCCGCAACGAGCGCAACCCCCAUCAUUAGUUGCCAUCAGGUAAAGCUGGGAACUCUAAUGAAACUGCCGUCGUAAGACGCGAGGAAGGAGGGGAUGAUGUCAAGUCAUCAUGGCCUUUAUGCCCAGGGCUACACACGUGCUACAAUGGAAGGGACAACGAGCUGCCACUUGGUGACAAGGCGCUAAUCUCAAAAACCCUUUCUCAGUUCAGAUCGCAGUCUGCAACUCGACUGCGUGAAGCUGGAAUCGCUAGUAAUCGUAUAUCAGCAAUGAUACGGUGAAUACGUUCCCGGACCUUGCACACACCGCCCGUCAAGCCAUGGAAGCUGGGUGUACCUAAAGUCGGUAACCGCAAGGAGCCGCCUAGGG
rnacentral:rRNA from 1 species